GAUGAACGCUGGCGGCGUGCCUAAUACAUGCAAGUCGAGCGAACGGACGAGAAGCUUGCUUCUCUGAUGUUGGCGGCGGACGGGUGAGUAACACGUGGAUAACCUACCUAUAAGACUGGGAUAACUUCGGGAAACCGUAGCUAAUACCGGAUAAUAUUUUGAACCGCAUGGUUCAAAAGUGAAAGACGGUCUUGCUGUCACUUAUAGAUGGAUCCGCGCUGCACUAGCUAGUUGGUAAGGUAACGGCUUACCAAGGCAACGAUGCAUAGCCGACCUGAGAGGGUGAUCGGCCACACUGGAACUGAGACACGGUCCAGACUCCUACGGGAGGCAGCAGUAGGGAAUCUUCCGCAAUGGGAGAAAGCCUGACGGAGCAACGUCGCGUGAGUGAUGAAGGUCUUCGGAUCGUAAAACUAUGUUAUUAGGGAAGAACAUAUGUGUAAGUAACUGUGCACAUCUUGACGGUACCUAAUCAGAAAGCCACGGCUAACUACGUG
rnacentral:rRNA from 1 species